UUUGAGUUCCUGUCCCUACUUCCUUCACUGAUGAACAGCAUUGCUGAAGUGUUCUACGGGAUUCCAAGUGGGAUGUUCAAACGAACGUGGCCUUUGAAUACUGAGUUGUGACACAGAGCCAGAACACUGAUAACAUUUUAAAAGCUGGAUACCAAGUAUUCAGAGUUAAGUUGACGUGCUCCAAUAUAAGAUUGCAUUUGAGGCUUCAUGGUGAGAUGUUGUCCCCCAAACUAAACCAAGUUAAACAAAACUAACCAACAAAUCAACCAGCCAAAAAACUCCAGAGCUAAUGUUUGAAAACUGCCAGUGCUCCACAAAAAGUACAAAGAAGUAGAGAAGUCAUUUGAGGUAAUGCUGCUUACUUAGCACAGUGCAGGAGGGCCUGGGCCAUCCAACAGUGGGUGCAUGCUGGUGUGGCUGAGCCGAUGAUAGAUACUCCGUGUCCAACGUGGGAGCCUCAGCAGUCCCAGUGCGGCACUGCAGGCCUGAGGGGUUCUGGAAAGUUGCUGCUCUUCAGUCCAUGUUGGAAGGCUGGAGAAGCUGGAGUGCGAUCUUAGCGAAGGAUGGCAGCCAUAGCAACGCGAGCAGCAUCAAGGAUAGACACCAGCAAGCAUGGAAGAAAACCUGGCACUAACAGUUACCGCACUGUGUGCUUCACCCUUGCCAUCAAGCUGGUUCCUCACAGAAACUUCCUGAUGGACAUUCAGGUCCCAUCUCAUUGACACACCUGGACACAGCUUCUCAGAUGGCAGAGAAAGCAGAAGCUAAGAGCAGCUGCAACUUGCUAAGGAUUCUGGGUAAACAAGUGGCCAUCAGCACUCAUGUUCUAGCUUCAGUCUUGCGGUCUUUGUCCAGUAGCCAAGUGGCUUCUUCCUGCUUUUGGGAUAACUCACCUUUUAAAGUUUGAGCAACCAAGUACAGUGAGAUAUGGAGUUUAAUCUUCUUGUACUUAGUCUGAAUGGUUUGGAAGUGAUACGGUUUUCUUUCUUUCAGCUUUGGAUGCUGGGUAGUCUGAGUUCAAGACACCAAGGUUUCUGGUGAGGGCUCACUCUCUGCUUCUAAGAUGGCCACACCCUUUUGUCAUCACACAUUCUGUAGCUUUAUGUGGCAGAAGGAUCGAAAGGGCAGUUUACUUGGAAGUCUUUUUCCUUUUCUUCCCCCUCCUUUUUUUAAUUUAGAAACAAUCAUUUUACAUAUCAAUCCCCCACCCCCUUUCCUCUCCGU